rnacentral:rRNA from 1 species
UACGAAGGGGGCUAGCGUUGUUCGGAAUCACUGGGCGUAAAGGGCGCGUAGGCGGCCGAUCAAGUCGGGGGUGAAAGCCUGUGGCUCAACCACAGAAUUGCCUUCGAUACUGGUUGGCUUGAGACCGGAAGAGGUAAGUGGAACUGCGAGUGUAGAGGUGAAAUUCGUAGAUAUUCGCAAGAACACCAGUGGCGAAGGCGGCUUACUGGUCCGGUUC